AUGAAAAUCAUCGGUUGGAACUGCCGGGGGCUCGGGAACGGCCCGGUAGUUCGCAGCCUCCUCGACCCGGGGAGGACGAAGGAGCCCGACAUUGUGUUCUUGGCGGAGACGAAAAUGACGGUGAAAGAGCUCGAGAAAUUCAGGUGGAUGACUGGCCUUGUUCAUAUGACAGCAUGGAAUUCGGAAGGAAGAAGUAGGGGGGGUGUUGUUCUGGUGACGCGGUAUAGACGUGGCGCUCAGAUCAUACGGUAG
rnacentral:rRNA from 1 species